rnacentral:tRNA from 1 species
GGGGUUGUAGCUCUGUGGCAUAGUGUGUGCUUUGCAUGCACAAGGCCCUGGAUUCAAUUCCCAGCACCA